rnacentral:rRNA from 1 species
GACGAACGCUGGCGGCGUGCCUAAUACAUGCAAGUCGAGCGCAGGAAACUGACGGAACUCUUCGGAGGGAAGGCAGUGGAAUGAGCGGCGGACGGGUGAGUAACACGUAAGGAACCUGCCUCAAGGAUUGGGAUAACUCCGAGAAAUCGGAGCUAAUACCGGAUAGUUCAACGGACCGCAUGGUCCGCUGAUGAAAGGCGCUCCGGCGUCACCUUGAGAUGGCCUUGCGGUGCAUUAGCUAGUUGGUGGGGUAACGGCCCACCAAGGCGACGAUGCAUAGCCGACCGGAGAGGGUGAUCGGCCACACUGGGACUGAGACACGGCCCAGACUCCUACGGGAGGCAGCAGUAGGGAAUCUUCCACAAUGGACGAAAGUCUGAUGGAGCAACGCCGCGUGAGUGAUGAAGGUUUUCGGAUCGUAAAACUCUGUUGUAAGGGAAGAACACGUACGAGAGGAAAUGCUCGUACCUUGACGGUACCUUACGAGAAAGCCACGGCUAACUACGUGCCAGCCGCCGCCGUAA